rnacentral:rRNA from 1 species
GACAGAGGUUGCAAACGUUGUUCGGAAUUACUGGGCAUAAAGCGCACGUAGGCGGUUCGUUAAGUCAUGUGUGAAAUCCCCCGGCUCAACCGGGGAAUUGCGCCUGAUACUGGCGGGCUAGAGAUCGAUAGGGGUGAGCGGAACUCCAGGUGGAGCGGUGAAAUGCGUAGAUAUCUGGAGGAACACCGGUGGCGAAAGCGGCUCACUGGAUCGAAACUGACGCUGAGGAGCGAAAGCAUGGGGAGCGAACAGG